GCUAUAUAAACACCUGAUCUGUCCUAAAUAUAUUCAUAGUGCAGGUUCAUGGACAGAUGUAUCGACUACUCUUGUUUCAUCGUUUAGUCAAACGCUAAUAUACAUAUAUAGAAUUGUUGUCUAUUUUGCAGGCUGACGACAAUUAUAUUUGGUUUAUCAACAUGAAGGAAGAACUCGAGGGUUCGAACGAAAACAUAAAUUUACCAGCACAUACUUUCGGCCCGGCAGUCAACGUGUUAGAUGGAGUUUUGAUUCGAAAGAUCAACGACUUUCUGCUGCGGGCGAUUGAGGUGUUAUAAAUCAUUAUAAUUUGAGAAGUAUUUUCGCUGGCACAAAAAUGUUUGUUCGAUAGAAAAGUAAUUGGAUUUGCAGCAAAAUGAAGUAGUCCGCACGUUCGAAAACAUCAGCACGUAAGCCAGUCAAUCGAUCGAAAGGGUUCAAUAUGUCGUCCAAGGAUCCUGUGCAGAUUUAUUGUCGUCUACGGCUAAUGCAGUCGUCAGAUGUGUCAUGCAUGAAGCCUACAUCCAGCACAACAGUAGUCAGAACGCCGCUAGAAUCAGCAACUAAUUUUAGGACCACGAACAAGGAGAUACGAACAACAUUCAGUCAUAUAUUCAUGCCUGAUGUAACACAAAAGGAAAUAUUCAAGACGGUUGCUCUUCCUCUUGUUGAAAAUCUUGUUCAGGGAAGGAACGGUCUUUUAUUCACAUAUGGUAUAACUGGCAGUGGAAACUGCAUGAUAACGCUCGGCCUCAUGUCGCAAAAGUCGUAAAAAAUUAUUUGGAAACGCUCAAGUGGGAUAUUUUACU